rnacentral:lncRNA from 1 species
CUAACACACAUCACACACGAAAACACAUCACACAAGCACACAUCACGCACGCUAACACACAUCACACACUAACACACAUCACACACUAACACACAUCACACGUGCUAAAACACAUCACACAAGCACACAUCACACACACUAACACAUCACACACACGAAAACACAUCACACAAGCACACAUCACACACACUAACACACACAUCACACACUAACACACAUCACACGUGCUAAAACACGUCACACAAGCACACAUCACACACACUAACACAUCACACAAGCACACAUCACACACGCUAACACAUCACACACUAACACACAUCACACGUGCUAAAACACAUCACACAAGCACACAUCACAC